GAUGAACGCUGGCGGCGUGCCUAAUACAUGCAAGUCGAGCGAACGGACGAGAAGCUUGCUUCUCUGAUGUUAGCGGCGGACGGGUGAGUAACACGUGGAUAACCUACCUAUAAGACUGGGAUAACUUCGGGAAACCGGAGCUAAUACCGGAUGAUAUUUUGAACCGCAUGGUUCAAAAGUGAAAGACGGUCUUGCUGUCACUUAUAGAUGGAUCCGCGCUGCAUUAGCUAGUUGGUAAGGUAACGGCUUACCAAGGCAACGAUGCAUAGCCGACCUGAGAGGGUGAUCGGCCACACUGGAACUGAGACACGGUCAAGACUCCUACGGGAGGCAGCAGUAGGGAAUCUUCCGCAAUGGGCGAAAGCCUGACGGAGCAACGCCGCGUGAGUGAUGAAGGUCUUCGGAUCGUAAAGCUCUGUUAUUAGGGAAGAACAUAUGUGUAAGUAACUGUGCACAGCUUGACGGUACCUAAUCAGAAAGCCACGGCUAACUACGUG
rnacentral:rRNA from 1 species